GACGAACGCUGGCGGCGCGCCUAACACAUGCAAGUCGAACGAGAGAUGAAGAGCUUGCUCUUCAGAUCGAGUGGCGAACGGGUGAGUAACGCGUGAGGAACCUGCCUUGAAGAGGGGGACAACAGUUGGAAACGACUGCCAAUACCGCAUGACGCAUAGAGGUCGCAUGAUCUUUAUGCCAAAGAUUUAUCGCUUCAAGAUGGCCUCGCGUCUGAUUAGCUAGUUGGCGGGGUAACGGCCCACCAAGGCGACGAUCAGUAGCCGGACUGAGAGGUUGAACGGCCACAUUGGGACUGAGAUACGGCCCAGACUCCUACGGGAGGCAGCAGUGGGGAAUAUUGCACAAUGGGGGGAAACCCUGAUGCAGCGACGCCGCGUGAGUGAUGAAGUAUUUCGGUAUGUAAAACUCUAUCAGCAGGGAAGAUAAUGACGGUACCUGACUAAGAAGCACCGGCUAAAUACGUGCCAGCA
rnacentral:rRNA from 1 species